rnacentral:lncRNA from 1 species
GGUGGUUACCGGGGUACAGGGACAGGAAAGCUACUCAGCUGAAGGUCUGUCCCAGGCUAGCCCACUGUAAGACCCUUGCCAAGCUGUGCAAUGGUGCUUCUCUCUAGUGCCUUCCUCCAAAGGGCAGUUCUGAUUCUUCACAGCAGCAUCUGUGUGGGCUGGUGUCUGCCAGGAAUCUGUGUAGAAAGACCAGGAGGAGGCAUACAGCCUCCACACACACCAGCCUACUCACGGAGCUGCAACUGGGGGAGCCCCUUGGGUCAUCGCAGGGAGCUGUGACCAUUCCAUGCUCUGAAAGGGAAGAGAAUUUAAUGUGCCAUAGACUUCUGCUGCCUCGGGUCUCAGAGCAGUGCUUUUGGUCACUCCAAUAACAGCCUUCUUUGCCAGGAAACCUGGUCCAGGCUUUGACUGUUACCAAAACAAGGAGAAAAUGCCCAACUUGACAGCCAGUCCUGGCCAGCAUAGAGGGACAUAGUGAAGUAUCGUGUCCAGCAGAUAAACCUCAGAUGAGUUUGUCCUGAUGAAAACACAGCAGCCUCCAGGCUCCUGGCAUUCUUAGUUUGUGCUGAGAAACCCAGGCCUGUAAUCCUUUCACUGUGCCGGAUGCUACAAAUUCCUUAGAACCAUAUAAAGUAGGUCCUGGAGAAGUUACGGCUCCCAACACAGGGCUCCACUGUCCUGUGGUCCCAUUAAUGUUCUGAGAUUUGGUCAGAAAGCUAGUUCAAAGCAUUUGUUUCAAAAUAAGUUAUUUAUUUGUAUAUGUUCAAUAAAUAGAGUUUUAAUUUAUAUGUACAUAUUGGGACACCCAUGAUCCUGUCAGGAUUCUCAGUGCUCUCAUUCUAUGACUCUCCCAAAGCCACCGGCAUGACCCCAGCCAUCGAUGGCAGGUUUGCUUUGUGUGGAUCCAGGUAGGCAGAGGGCUGAACCAGCCCCUUUCUGUGAGCAACCAGGUCCUCUGCACCAUGGGAGAUGCUCCACCUCUUGGGGCCUCUCUUUGAGGCCACAGAGUUUCCCUGGGUCUACUUUUGCUACAACUUGGCAAGAUGUCAUCAGCUUUCACAAACCCCUACUUUUAUGUCCGUUUUCUAACUAACCAUUUGCAUGCAAAUAUCAUGCUGGCCCGGGGAUUUGCUCUGGUCCCUGGCCUGGGCAUGUGGGUGCAACCCUCAGUGUCACACAAGCUCAUGUACCAGUGUUCUUGCAAGGGUGAGUGUGGGUCAAACAGGUCAUCCCAGGUGCCAGAGUGACCUGUCAGGACGGUAUGGACCCACUUCACACAGAAUCUUCCAGAGUGCUUGCUGCUCCCCUGCCUCAGCGUCAGUGCCCGGUCGCUUCCCCGUGCAUGCCUUGGUCCUGCCUCACCAUCCUGUCCACUUCAUCUGUCCACUGCUCCAAUUUCCCUUUGGCUGUUUCUGUGUCAGCUCGCCCAUGCCAAUGGGACUUUUAGAAAAUCGGCUUUGGAAAGCAAUGUCCCAGGCCCUGAGGACAUCGAGGAAGGCUUCCAAUAUGUGGGGACUGCAGUCCCCCAGGUAGAAUUCACACACAGGCAGCAGCUGGACUGUGUGUCCCUGGCCUCUCCUCCCAAAGGCAAGGGACAAGCCUUCCCUGUCGUUGACCUCUGCCCUGUGCUCUGGGGAAUACUUGAGCCAAGUUAAGACAUUCACACCCACCCUCACCAGCAAGCAGGACACCUUCAAGGUCCAUUCUAUGGGUGGGGCAACAUCAAAAUGAUUGAUCUUUCUGGGUUUUUUUUUCUAAAGUAAUUUUGAAAUAGAGACAUUUCAAAUCCAUGACAUAGUUUUUAUAGAAGCAACUGAAUGUCUGGGUCUUGUUCCCACUGACUUACUACUAAUCACGCCAGAGGGCUGGGUUUCUACUGUGAACUAAACUGAAACUAAACUCCCUCACUCCCCGUGCCAUCCUCACACAGCUCAGCCCCAGGGAGAGCGGAAGCAGCUUGGCCAUGUCACUGGCGUGCAAAGCCCUCCCCUCAGUUUUGAGGAACACCCUUUGCCAGUAGGUGGGGAUAUACCACCAUGAUCUUUGGAAACCUGGGCUUCCUGUACACCAGAUUGGAUUGUCCUUUCAAAAUGGUGUCUUUAGUUCAUAAUUCUUAGGGACCAAAGGUGUUUUUAAUAGGAUAAUGUUUUAAUUGAUUUCUAACAAAGGUUUACUCUACAUUUUAAUACCAGUUUUUUUACAUUCUAGAUAUUCCAAAUCAAUUGCUCGUGGCUCUAAGUUGUAAAAUGUUUUCACGUUAUGAAUGUAAUUAUUUCCUUAAUGUAUUUUUAAAAAAAAACUAAAAUCAUAUUUAAAAUAACCUUGGAAAGACAACAGGCGAAGGAAAGAGAAAGUUUUUUUUUAAUUAACUAUGUUGGUAGCCCAUUUGAAAUGACUGUAAAUAUAUUUUGAUUGUGUAGCUCAAUGUAUUUAAUUCAGAAAGUAAAAAUUUUUUAUGUAAAGAGACUUGCAAUGAAAAAUCCUAGUUUUCAGUCCAUGCCCCUAUCUUGUAGUCACUCCCUCCCAACUUUUCUCCUCUACAAACUGAUUUUUUUUCUACUGUUGUAACCGUGUACCCAUCGACUGGCGCCCAUUGGCGGAACUUGUUUGUGUAUUAAUAAAACUGUGCUAUGUAGUCCGGCCUUGUGUCCUCCUGACAGUGGCUCAUGGUGCAGAAGAAGUUGUUC